AAAUGAUUAUAGAUUACAAUCUGAUAAAAACCUAAAACAAUCUAAUAAACGGUUUUGUGAUUGAGUACAUUUUUUUAGAGGUGGCCAUUCAGGACAGAUUUUUUCUUUUAGGGUCUAAAUAGUAUUUGCAUCUUAAAAGAAAAAAAAUCAUGUGUCUUCAACCAAAACCGGUUGGUUAAUCUCUGAAAAAUCUUUCUUCCAUCAUUUAUUGUGAAUAAGCAUCUUCCCAGACUCAAGUGAUGAUAACUCUGGUUUCUGCCUAUUAAAGAUAUAUCUGAACUUCGCAGAUUGUUUUUUCCUGUACAAUGGAGCUUGGAUACAUUUUAAAUUAACUUUCUCUAGGAAUUAAAGGUAAUCAUUACUUUUCUUUAUGAUCUACAUGAAUAUUCUCAUUAUUUUUGUUUUCAAGUUGAAGAUUAGUUUUGAAUUCCCAUUAUAUGUCUGCCCUCUUUCAGGUCUCCUCUGAGGAUCUCAGCUUGCUGAAGGAGGACUGAGGAAAUGUCUCUGAAAUUUGUUCUUGCUGAGCUGACCCCAGCACUUAAAAGAGUGUGACAUGAAUCACCAGCCCCUCUUUUGGUAAAAAGGGCAACUGUGUCUGACCAUCUUCACUGGCAUACAGUCCAGCAGUUGUUCAAGGAAAGUAUCCUCCAGAAGCUUUGCAACCCCACUCACCAGUGAAUGAAAGAAUUUUGGAGAUUCUACUCUUGACAGUUGUCUAUUUUAUCUCUUAUAUGUAUUAUCUUUCUGUACCACACACAAUAAAAUUUGAGA